rnacentral:rRNA from 1 species
UUGGAGGGCAAGUCUGGUGCCAGCAGCCGCGGUAAUUCCAGCUCCAAUAGCGUAUAUUAAAGUUGUUGCAGUUAAAAAGCUCGUAGUUGAAUUUCGGGAUCAGCAGGUUGGUCGUGCCAAUGGUAUGCACUGGCCUUGCUGAUUCCUCCCUCUUGAUGAGCCGUAAUGCCAUUAAUUUGGUGUUGCGGGGAAUCAGGACUGUUACUUUGAAAAAAUUAGAGUGUUUAAAGCAGGCAAGCGCUUGAAUACAUUAGCAUGGAAUAAUGAAAUAGGACGUUUGAUCCUAUUUUGUUGGUUUCUAGGAUUGACGUAAUGAUUAAUAGGGAUAGUUGGGGGCAUUAGUAUUCAAUUGUCAGAGGUGAAAUUCUUGGAUUUAUUGAAGACUAACUACUGCGAAAGCAUUUGCCAAGGAUGUUUUCAUUAAUCAAGAACGAAAGUUAGGGGAUCGAAGACGAUCAGAUACCGUCGUAGUCUUAACCAUAAACUAUGCCGACUAGGGAUCGGAUGAUGUUAAUUUUUUAAUGACUCAUUCGGCACCUUACGGGAAAC